CAGCAGCCGCGGUAAUACGAAGGGGGCUAGCGUUGCUCGGAAUUACUGGGCGUAAAGGGCGCGUAGGCGGACAGUUAAGUUGGGGGUGAAAGCCCGGGGCUCAACCUCGGAAUUGCCUUCAAUACUGGCUGUCUUGAGUACGGGAGAGGUGAGUGGAACUCCGAGUGUAGAGGUGAAAUUCGUAGAUAUUCGGAAGAACACCAGUGGCGAAGGCGACUCACUGGCCCGUUACUGACGCUGAGGCGCGAAAGCGUGGGGAGCAAACAGGAUUAGAUACCCUGGUAGUCCACGCCGUAAACGAUGAGUGCUAGUUGUCGGCAUGCAUGCAUGUCGGUGACGCAGCUAACGCAUUAAGCACUCCGCCUGGGGAGUACGGUCGCAAGAUUAAAACUCAAAUGAAUUGACGG
rnacentral:rRNA from 1 species